rnacentral:rRNA from 1 species
GACGAACGCUGGCGGCGUGCUUAACACAUGCAAGUCGAACGGAAAGGCCCUGCUUUUGUGGGGUGCUCGAGUGGCGAACGGGUGAGUAACACGUGAGUAACCUGCCCUUGACUUUGGGAUAACUUCAGGAAACUGGGGCUAAUACCGGAUAGGAGCUCCUGCUGCAUGGUGGGGGUUGGAAAGUUUCGGCGGUUGGGGAUGGACUCGCGGCUUAUCAGCUUGUUGGUGGGGUAGUGGCUUACCAAGGCUUUGACGGGUAGCCGGCCUGAGAGGGUGACCGGCAAACUGGGGCCGAAGGUAGGGCCCAGCCCCCAAGGGGGGGAAAGGGGGGGAAAUUUGGCACAGGGGGGGAAAGCGUGUGCAGGAACGCCCCGGGGGGGAAUGCGGGCCUACGGGUUGAAAACCACUUUGGCCGUGAAGAAGGGGGGGGGGACGGUAAUGGGUAAAAAAGCACCGGCUAACUACGU